rnacentral:ncRNA from 1 species
AUAAUGAUACUUCCGUAACUCGCGGCCCGGUCACAAUGAAGACGGGGAGAUAAAAUUUCUAUGG